rnacentral:rRNA from 1 species
CCUACGGGCGGCAGCAGUGGGGAAUAUUGGACAAUGGGGGCAACCCUGAUCCAGCCAUGCCGCGUGUGUGAAUAAGGCCCUCGGGUUGUAAAGCACUUUCAGUGAGGAAGAACGCCUGGUGGUUAAUACCCAUCAGGAAAGACAUCACUCACAGAAGAAGCACCGGCUAACUCCGUGCCAGCAGCCGCGGUAAUACGGAGGGUGCGAGCGUUAAUCGGAAUUACUGGGCGUAAAGCGCGCGUAGGUGGCUUGAUAAGCCGGUUGUGAAAGCCCCGGGCUCAACCUGGGAACGGCAUCCGGAACUGUCAAGCUAGAGUGCAGGAGAGGAAGGUAGAAUUCCCGGUGUAGCGGUGAAAUGCGUAGAGAUCGGGAGGAAUACCAGUGGCGAAGGCGGCCUUCUGGACUGACACUGACACUGAGGUGCGAAAGCGUGGGUAGCAAACAGGAUUAGAUACCCGAGUAGUC